UAAGAGGUCCCGCCUGCCCUGUGACAAUUAGUUUAACGGCCGCGGUAUUUUGACCGUGCAAAGGUAGCGCAAUCACUUGUCUUUUAAAUGAAGACCUGUAUGAAUGGCAUUACGAGGGCUUAGCUGUCUCCUUGCCCCAGUCAAUGAAAUUGAUCUCCCCGUGCAGAAGCGGGGAUAACACCAUAAGACGAGAAGACCCUGUGGAGCUUUAAAUUAUAAGUAGACUGUGUUAAUACGCCAAAAUAAAGGAAACUAAACCAAAUAGACACUACUUUAAUAUUUUUGGUUGGGGCGACCACGGGGGACAAAUAAGCCCCCACGAGGACCAGGAAAAUCUUCCUAAAACCAAGAGCUACAGCUCUAAGAAACAGAACUUCUGACCUACCAGAUCCGGCCUUUAAGCCGAUCAACGGACCGAGUUACCCCAGGGAUAACAGCGCAAUCUUCUUUCAGAGCCCCUAUCGACAAGAAGGUUUACGACCUCGAUGUUGGAUCAGGACAUCCUAAUGGUGCAACCGCUAUUAAGGGUUCGUUUGUUCAACG
rnacentral:rRNA from 1 species